AAAUGCAUAACGCUCAACUGGUUAGAGCUGCCCUCUGUCGUGGUGGUUGUGGGUUCGAGUCCCGCUGCAUUAA
rnacentral:tRNA from 1 species